CGAUAAUCUGGGGGGCGCUUAAGACAGAUUAGCUCUGUGAGACUGAGCUGGUCGUAUAUGAGGCGUAGUCGGGAGCAGCUCAAGUCUCGAAGGAGGAGACUCCUCGGAUAGCCUGAGGAUCUGACUUUCGUGCUGGAUGACUGAGGGUGUACUUGAGAGUGUGAGGAGGGGAUAUUGGAUCUGCUGAUGUGUCAGAGGACGAACAAUCGUGGAUGAUGGGGUAAGAAGCACCCAGCUGGCUGAACGGCUGACGUACUGAAAUCAUUACUGAGCGCACAGGCUCGAGAUGACGUGGGGUAGUACACAGCGAGUAGAUGACGAAUGUAGUGCACGCCGUAAAAUUAUGAUUGCAUAGUUGUCAGGGAAGCGCUGCUUCUCAUUUGACGCAGGGGAGUGCGGUAAGCAAUCUGCAUGUCGAGUACGGUGGCAAGAGUCCGCACAAACGGUGGAGACAGGGGGGCCGCACAAGCGGUGGAGCAUGAGGUUUAAUUUGAAGCAACGCGCAGAACCUUACCACCCAGAGACAUGACCGGACCGCCACAGAGAGAGCACAUCCCUUCCGGGACUGUGACACAGGUGCUGCAUGAGAGUCGUCAGCUCUUGUCGUGAGAUGCGCAACUAAGUUCCGCAACGAGUGCCACCCUCUCCAUUAGUUGCCAUCAUUUAGUUGGGAAAUGUAAUGGGGAAGCCGGUGAUAAGCCGGAGGAAGGAGGGGCCGACGUCAAGUCGUCAUGCCCCUUACACAAUGGGGGACACACGUGGUACAAUGGGGACGACAGAGGGUUAAUCUUUAAAAGUCGUCUCAGUUCGGAUUGUCCUCUGCAACUCGAGGGCAUGAAGUUGGAAUCGCUAGUAAUCGUGGAUCAGCAUGCCGCGGUGAAUACGUUCCCGGGCCUUGUACACACCGCCCGUCACACCAUGGGAGUUGGUUUUACCCGAAGGCGAUGCGCUAACCCGCAAGGGAGGCAGUCGACCACGGUAGGGUCAGCGACUGGGGUGAAGUGUAACAAGGUAACC
rnacentral:rRNA from 1 species